rnacentral:rRNA from 1 species
AUUGAACGCUGGCGGCCGGCCUAACACAUGCAAGUCGUACUAGUGGCGGACGGGUGAGUAAUGUCUGGGAAACUGCCCGAUGGAGGGGGAUAACUCCUGGAAACGGUAGCUAAUACCGCAUACCAUCGGAUGUGUCCAGAUGGGAUUAGCUAGUAGGUGGGGUAACGGCUCACCAGGGCGACGAUCCCUAGCAGGUCUGAGAGGAUGACCAGCCACGCUGGACGUGAGACACGGUCCAGACUCCUACGGGAGGCAGCCGUGGGGAAUAUGGCACAAUGGGCGAAAGCCUGAUGCAGACAUGCCGCGUGUAUGAAGAAGGCCUUCGGGUUGUAAAGUACUUUCAGCGAGAGGGCGUUACUCGCAGAAGAGGCACCGGCUAACUCCGUGCCAGCCGCCGCGGUAAUUC